GAUGAACGCUGGCGGCGUGCCUAAUACNUGCAAGUCGAGCGAACGGACGAGAAGCUUGCUUCUCUGAUGUUAGCGGCGGACGGGUGAGUAACACGUGGAUAACCUACCUAUAAGACUGGGAUAACUUCGGGAAACCGGAGCUAAUACCGGAUAAUAUUUUGAACCGCAUGGUUCAAAAGUGAAAGACGGUCUUGCUGUCACUUAUAGAUGGAUCCGCGCUGCAUUAGCUAGUUGGUAAGGUAACGGCUUACCAAGGCAACGAUGCAUAGCCGACCUGAGAGGGUGAUCGGCCACACUGGAACUGAGACACGGUCCAGACUCCUACGGGAGGCAGCAGUAGGGAAUCUUCCGCAAUGGGCGAAAGCCUGACGGAGCAACGCCGCGUGAGUGAUGAAGGUCUUCGGAUCGUAAAACUCUGUUAUUAGGGAAGAACAUAUGUGUAAGUAACUGUGCACAUCUUGACGGUACCUAAUCAGAAAGCCACGGCUAACUACGUGCCAGCAGCCGCGGUAAUACGUAGGUGGCAAGCGUUAUCCGGAAUUAUUGGGCGUAAAGCGCGCGUAGGCGGUUUUUUAAGUCUGAUGUGAAAGCCCACGGCUCAACCGUGGAGGGUCAUUGGAAACUGGAAAACUUGAGUGCAGAAGAGGAAAGUGGAAUUCCAUGUGUAGCGGUGAAAUGCGCAGAGAUAUGGAGGAACACCAGUGGCGAAGGCGACUUUCUGGUCUGUAACUGACGCUGAUGUGCGAAAGCGUGGGGAUCAAACAGG
rnacentral:rRNA from 1 species